rnacentral:rRNA from 1 species
GACGAACGCUGGCGGCGUGCUUAACACAUGCAAGUCGAACGAAGUGGCGAACGGGUGAGUAAUACGUGAGUAACCUGCCCUCCUUUUUGGAAUAAGCCUUGGAAACGGGGUCUAAUACCGAAUAAAGGGGGAUGGGCGCGCGGCCUAUCAGCUUGUUGGUGGGGUGAUGGCCUACCAAGGCGGUGACGGGUAGCCGGCCUGAGAGGGUGACCGGUGACAUUGGGACUGAGAUACGGUCCAGACUGAGGCGGCAGUCGGCAGUGGGGGAUAUUGGGCGAUGGGCUAAAGCCUGAUGCAGCGGCGUCGGGUGAGGGAUGACGGCUUUCGAGUUGUAAACCUCUUUCGCGAACGAACCGGUAGGUGGAGAAGAAGCGCCGGCUAACUACGUGCCAGCAGCCGCGGUAAUAC